AAGACUUUUUGAGUUUGCAGACCAGAGGAGGAGAAGGAGAAGAACCAGAACCAGAAGGAGAAGGGGAGACUGUCAAACCUGGAGGGAGUUUCAUGUAAACAUCCUCAUCCAAAUCAUCAUGAAGAAAGGCAUUAUUGACAUCCAGCUGAAAAAGAGGCCAGUGAUUUGUGACAGCCACAGCAAUAAGGCACUUUACAGAAGUCAUUUUUAUUACUGGAGAGAAAGUUUCAGUAAAAUCAAUCCCCUCAACCUGUGUGUCACCUCGAAUGACCAACCUGGCCUUAUACCUUUCAACACUGCCAUCUGCCUUGUAUUUAAUUUUGUAAACCCAUUUGCAACUAAUGGGUUUCUUACCAGGAGGAAGAGGAACAACAUCCCAAGUAUGGUUAGUGUCCAACGCUUCAAACUCCUGUCUCAUGGCAGCUUGCCAUGCUUUAUGGGAUUCAACCCCAAUUUUAAUUGGUCUAUCUUACCAGGAGGAAGAGGAAAAACAUCCCAAGUAUGGUUUGUGUCCAAAGCCUCAAACUCCUGUCUAAUGCAGCUUGCCAAGCUGGAACAGAUGCUGCCUGAGAAUAGUAUAGUGGCUCAGAUUCCAAAGAGGAGGAAGAUGAGCCAGAGAAGGCAGGGAGUUGACAGACAUAAUCUCUCAGAUUCCAAAGAGGAGAAAGAUAAGCCAGAGAAGGCAGGGAGUUGACAUACAUAAUCUUUAAGAUAGGAAGGAGGAUUAUGUUGUCUGUUAGACUUUCUGGGAGCAGGAACAGAGGGAGAAGGAAUUAAAACAGGAGGUGAACCAGCAUGACUGAGAGGAGCAGGAAAGGGCAUUUGCACAGAUGUGGCAGAAGAGGCAGGAGAGAGUGGAAUGAGAGAAUCAGAGAUAUCAUCAUGUUCUCCAGAGGGAAUAAAGGGAAAAGAAGAAGAGGAGGAGCAGAGGGAGAUGCAGGUUGAAAAGGAAAAACUGAUUCAUGAAAUAGAACAUCCCUGGAGACCAAAUACUUUCUAGAUGCAAUAUCAUAGAGCCUAUAACCCUUUUUGCCAAAAGGAUAACCCAGGAAAACACAAGGAAUGACUCUGGGCUUUAACUUGUCCCUUUGAGGGAUGGGAACAGUGGCAUAGGCCAGGCAACCAAAAACCCUCAAGUGAGUAUAAGAAGGAAGUUUGCCAUACAAAAUUCAUGAGGAGACUUAUUUUGAAGCAAUCUGGUGGGUAUUCUGUUAAGAAGAUAGGUGGCAGUCAACAAGUAGUCCCCCCAGAAAGAUACUGGCAAGCCAGAUUGAAAGAGCAAUGCUCUACAGGUUUCAAG
rnacentral:lncRNA from 1 species